rnacentral:rRNA from 1 species
AUUGAACGCUGGCGGCGGGCCUAACACGUGCAAGUCGAGCGGAUGAGUGGAGCUUGCUCCAUGAUUCAGCGGCGAACGGGUGAGUAAUGCCUAGGAAUCUGCCUAUUAGUGGGGGACAACGUUUCGAAAGGAACGCUAAUACCGCAUACGUCCUACGGGAGAAAGCAGGGGACCUUCGGGCCUUGCGCUAAUAGAUGAGCCUAGGUCGGAUUAGCUAGUUGGUGAGGUAAUGGCUCACCAAGGCGACGAUCCGUAACUGGUCUGAGAGGAUGAUCAGUCACACUGGAACUGGGACACGGUCCAGACUCCUACGGGAGGCAGCAGUGGGGAAUAUUGGACAAUGGGCGAAAGCCUGAUCCAGCCAUGCCGCGUGUGUGAAGAAGGUCUUCGAAUUGUAAAGCACUUUAAGUUGGGAGGAAGGGUUGUACGUUAAUACCGUGCAAUUUUGACGUUACCGACAGAAUAAGCACCGGCUAACUCUGUGCCAGCAGCCGCGGUAA